rnacentral:rRNA from 1 species
AACAACGGAUCUCUUGGUUCUGGCAUCGAUGAAGAACGCAGCGAAAUGCGAUAAGUAAUGUGAAUUGCAGAAUUCAGUGAAUCAUCGAAUCUUUGAACGCACAUUGCCGCGGCAGUAAUCUGCCGGCAUGCCUGUCCGAGCGUCAUUU